rnacentral:rRNA from 1 species
ACUCAAAUGAAUUGACGGGGGCCCGCACAAGCGGUGGAGCAUGUGGUUUAAUUCGAUGCAACGCGAAGAACCUUACCUGCUCUUGACAUACAUUGAACUUAGCAGAGAUGCUGGGGUGCCGUAAGGAACGAUGAUACAGGUGCUGCAUGGCUGUCGUCAGCUCGUGUCGUGAGAUGUUGGGUUAAGUCCCGUAACGAGCGCAACCCUUGUUCUUAGUUACCAACACGUAGAGGUGGGGACUUUAAGGAGACUGCCGGUGACAAGCCGGAGGAAGGCGGGGACGACGUCAAGUCAUCAUGGCCCUUAUGAGCAGGGCUACACACGUGCUACAAUGGCUGGUACAGAGGGGAGCGAAGCAGUGAUGUGGAGCGAAUCCUAGAAAGCCGGUCGUAGUCCGGAUUGGAGUCUGCAACUCGACUCCAUGAAGUGGGAAUCGCUAGUAAUCGCGAAUCAGCAUGUCGCGGUGAAUACGUUCCCGGGCCUUGUACACACCGCCCGU